GCCAGCAGUCAUAUCACCCUGCAACUCACAACUGGCAACCCACUGAAGCUAAGCAGGUGUGAGCCUGGUCAGUACCUGGAUAAGGAGACCUCCUGGGAAAAUCUAAGGUUGCUGCUGGAA
ensembl:rRNA 5S_rRNA 5S ribosomal RNA